rnacentral:lncRNA from 1 species
CAAUUUGUUGUUUCCAUAACACGUAAAACACCAGUAAACGUAAUACUUAUACAUAAAUGAACUGCUUAAAAUAUGAACAUACUAAUGAUAUUAUUCCUCCUUUUAAUCCCAAUGCACUCAUAAAUAGUACUGGUAGCUAUUUGGAUGAAUCCAUCAAUUGGAAUAUUUAGAACAUAUACCAUGGGCAAAAUACUCUUCU